rnacentral:rRNA from 1 species
GACGAACGCUGGCGGCGUGCUUAACACAUGCAAGUCGAGCGGUAAGGCCCUUUCGGGGGUACACGAGCGGCGAACGGGUGAGUAACACGUGGGUGACCUGCCCUCCAGCUCUGGGAUAAGCCUGGGAAACCGGGUCUAAUACCGGAUAUGACUCCAUGACGCAUGUUGUGGGGUGGAAAGCCUUGUGCGGCUGAGGAUGGGCCCGCGGCCUAUCAGC